CCCAUACCAUCAUCCUAUCUAUUUGCCAUCUGUAUUCCCAUCACAUUUCUAAGAUUUAAGUGUAUAUUUCUAGCGAGUUAGUUCGCAGGUUUGUUGUUCAAGAAAUAUAGAAGAAAGAAAGAAAAAUGUUUAGAAUAUUUAACAAAGAGUUGGCAAGUGCACCAAAAGAAUUGAAUGGUCCUCCUCCAGCAUCAAUGAAGCCUGCCGCUGGUUCUAAGAAACCAAAGUUUCCUCAAGAGGUUCUCUCUUUACAUGAUCAUCCAACAAUAUCGAUUAAGAAAAUGCCAAAGGUUGAUAGUACUGAAGGUAUCAUGUGUGGCAGUACCAGCUUCCUUGUUGAUUCUCGUGUGAAGAUUAAUAGUAUUGUAUUCGGAAGGAGACAAGAUUUCUUCUGUGAAUUUCGAGUCAAAUGAGGUGUGGCUUAAUAAUGGAUUACUCAUGUUUAUACUCUUAACGCUAGUAAAUGUUAAUCGAAUAAGCAAGUACAGUUUUUUCGUUUAAAUAUCAUGUAUAUAAGGAUUAUUUUUUUUAAAGUAAUGACGGAAUCCUGUCUUGUUAAUUUAUAUAUCCAUAUACGUUUUAAAGUUCACUGGUAUGAACAUUUUUAGUCGUUUUGUUAUAUUAAAAAUAGUAAUUCUUUGUAUUCUAAACAAUAAUUGUUAUUGUUUUUUGGAUGCAACUUCUAAUGAAAUAAAAUAGAUUAUAUCUGAUUAAACAUCAACAUGCGAGGGCAUAAUCUUUUUCUUGUUCUUAAUAACCUCUUUAUAAUAAUGAUUCGUCGUACUGGCGGCUAAAUUUGCAUAAGAUAAUGAAAAACAGUCAGCAAGAUCAUCGAAGAUUACAAAGAUUUUCUUCAUUCAUAAACUACUAUAUGUAGAGGUUAAUUCUCAUUACUGGAUCAUCACUAAAGAAGAAGAAGAAGAGGAAGAAAAAUCAUUCUCUGAAUUAUGGGCAAGAUCAGUAAGCUCCUUAGCUUCUUCUUAUUUGUUUUGAUUGCCAUGCCUGCAGCCUCUUCAUCGAGCAGGAUGAUGCUCGAGAAGGAUGUGGGAAUAGAAAAGUGCCCGCCAAGAAUAACUCCGUCAUGCGAUUUCGUUCAGUGUCAAAAACCGGCAAAUUGUCCAAAAAUUAGAUGCGGACAAGGUCUUGUUCUUUACCAGCCGUGUUGUGACUGCCCAUCAUGCUGUUCUAAAAGCUUAAAAUUGAUGAACAUACUGGAUUCUGUAUUGUUUUGAUGGUUAUUUAUCACCUCUCUACUGUAUGUUUGCAUUUCUCCUUUUAAUGUUUGGAUUUGGCAGUCGUAAUGUAUCAGUGUGAUGAAAUAAAAUGUAAGCGGUUAUACUUGUGUUUUUUAAA